CUCUCUCUUGCCUCAUUCCCCCAAAGCUGGCCUCUGCGGGCACCUUCCGGGUGCUGAAGGAGCCCCUUGCCUUCCUGCGAGCCCUGGAAUUGGCUCAGCUGUGCCUGGUGUCAAGAAGCUCAGUGACCCUUUCUGGACUCAGAAGUGCCUCUCAGCCCUCAGGAGCCUUUUCUCCAGCAAAUGUACCCUAUGGAAAAGUAGUCCUUGAUCCAAUCAGUUCUUUGUUGACUGGUCUGGUCAGUUUCCUCUAGGUUCUAUCGGUGCAUUCUUCUGGAAUACGUGAUUUCAAGGACAGACCUCUACAUGUGAGUUUUCUAAUUCUUUUUGCAAUCUUUGCAUUUGCAACAUGCGGUGGCUAUUCCGGAGGCCUGCGGCUGAGUGUGGACUGUGUCAACAAGACAGAAAGUAACCUCAGCAUCGACAUAGCGUUUGCCUACCCAUUCAGGUUGCAUCAGGUGACGUUUGAGGUGCCCACCUGCGAGGGAAAGGAACGGCAGAAGCUGGCAUUGAUUGGUGACUCCUCGUCUUCAGCAGAGUUCUUCGUCACUGUUG
rnacentral:sRNA from 1 species